AUUGAACGCUGGCGGCAGGCUUAACACAUGCAAGUCGAGCGGGGAAGUGUAGCUUGCUACAUUACCUAGCGGCGGACGGGUGAGUAAUGCUUAGGAAUCUGCCUAUUAGUGGGGGACAACAUUCCGAAAGGAAUGCUAAUACCGCAUACGUCCUACGGGAGAAAGCAGGGGAUCUUCGGACCUUGCGCUAAUAGAUGAGCCUAAGUCGGAUUAGCUAGUUGGUGGGGUAAAGGCCUACCAAGGCGACGAUCUGUAGCGGGUCUGAGAGGAUGAUCCGCCACACUGGGACUGAGACACGGCCCAGACUCCUACGGGAGGCAGCAGUGGGGAAUAUUGGACAAUGGGCGGAAGCCUGAUCCAGCCAUGCCGCGUGUGUGAAGAAGGCCUUUUGGUUGUAAAGCACUUUAAGCGAGGAGGAGGCUACUCUAGUUAAUACCUAGAGAUAGUGGACGUUACUCGCAGAAUAAGCACCGGCUAACUCUGU
rnacentral:rRNA from 1 species